UUGCUGUUAAUGAAGGGAGUAACCAAAGACUAUUGCUAAGUAACAGCUACAUUACAGUGAUUGACAGCUGGUCUGUAUUCUGACUCCUCCCACCAGUGUCAGUGAUGUCAUUCCCUAAGAGUUCCAACAUCUACUGAGCAUGUCUGACCCGGUACUUGCCAUUCAUCUCUAUUAUAUCUAUUACUAUAGAAUCAGAGCCUGAUUGAUCAUCAUAUUUGCAGCUGCGGACCGGAGCGACUGGAGAGAAGAGAACCAGGAAUGGGAGGCAAGCAUAACGGGAUGGGAGGGGACAGAGCGGCUGCGGUGACACGGAACAUCUGUCAGAGGCGGCAAUUGGCACUGGAUAGUGGCUGCUAGUUAGAUGUCGAUUCGGAAGUGAACUCAUCAGUCAUCAGGGAUUGUGAUAGGGCUGACAAUACGUCUGGAAAUAGUGGGUUUCAGGGCCGUCUAAACAGCAUUGAAGUCCUGGGCAAAGCAAUGCACUGGGGCCUCUACAGGAAUGAAUAAAUAAAAAAUCCUAACUUAC